rnacentral:pre_miRNA from 1 species
GGGGAGAGGUGUCUCCGUCUCCCUUGGAUCUUUUUGCGGUCUGGGCUUGCUGUUCCUCUAAUCAGUAGUCAGGAAGCCCUUACCCCAAAAAGUAUCUGCGAGAGACCUGGUCGGCAGAUGUGGUCCCC